UACGUAGGGGGCAAGCGUUAUCCGGAAUUACUGGGUGUAAAGGGAGAGUAGGCGGCAAGGUAAGCGAUAUGUGAAAGCCUUAGGCUUAACCUGAGGAUUGUAUAACGAACUAUCUAGCUAGAGUACAGGAGAGGAAAGCGGAAUUCCUAGUGUAGCGGUGAAAUGCGUAGAUAUUAGGAAGAACACCAGUGGCGAAGGCGGCUUUCUGGACUGAAACUGACGCUGAGGCUCGAAAGCGUGGGGAGCGAACAGG
rnacentral:rRNA from 1 species